AGUGAACGCUGGCGGUAGGCCUAACACAUGCAAGUCGAACGGCAGCACAGUAAGAGCUUGCUCUUACGGGUGGCGAGUGGCGGACGGGUGAGGAAUACAUCGGAAUCUACUUUUUCGUGGGGGAUAACGUAGGGAAACUUACGCUAAUACCGCAUACGACCUACGGGUGAAAGCAGGGGAUCUUCGGACCUUGCGCGAUUGAAUGGGCCGAUGUCGGAUUAGCUAGUUGGCGGGGUAAAGGCCCACCAAGGCGACGAUCCGUAGCUGGUCUGAGAGGAUGAUCAGCCACACUGGAACUGAGACACGGUCCAGACUCCUACGGGAGGCAGCAGUGGGGAAUAUUGGACAAUGGGCGCAAGCCUGAUCCAGCCAUACCGCGUGGGUGAAGAAGGCCUUCGGGUUGUGAAGCCCUUUUGUUGGGAAAGAAAAGCAGCAGGUUAAUACCCCGCUGUUCUGACGGUACCCAAAGAAUAAGCACCGGCUAACUUCGUG
rnacentral:rRNA from 1 species